AAUUGGCGGGGGAGCACAUUGGCGGCAUCUAGUACGUGGUGCAGCAGGCGCGAAACCUCCGCAAUGCUCGAGAGAGUGACGGGGAAAUUCCAAGUGCCUACGCACAGCGUAGGCUGUUCAGAUGCCUACAAAGCAUCUGGAGGAAGGACUGGCCAAGACGGGUGCCAGCCGCCGCGGUAACACCCGCAGUUCAAGUGGCAGUCGAGUUUAUUGGGCCUAAAGCGUCCGUAGCCGGUCUGGCAAAUGCCUGGGUAAAUCGUCUGGCUCAACCAGAGGAAUUCCGGGUAGACUGCCAGACUUGGGACCGGUUGAGGGAGAGGGUACUCCAGGGGUAGGAGUGAAAUCCUGUAAUCCUUGGAGGACCACCAGUGGCGAAAGCGCUCUGCCAGGACGGGUCCGACGGUGAGGGACGAAAGCCAGGGUAGCGAACCGGAUUAGAUACCCGGGUAGUCCUGGCGGUAAACGAUGCGGGCUGGGAUUUGGGGAUCCUACAAGGGUGUCCAGUGCCGAAGCAAAGGCUUUAACCCCCCCGCUUGGGAGGAAUGGCCCCAAGGUUAAAAAUUAAAGGAAUUGGCGGGGGAGCAAAUAAUUG
rnacentral:rRNA from 2 species